rnacentral:rRNA from 1 species
GAUGAACGUUGGCGGCGUGCCUAAUACAUGCAAGUCGAGCGAACAGACGAGGAGCUUGCUCCUCUGAUGUUAGCGGCGGACGGGUGAGUAACACGUGGAUAACCUACCUAUAAGACUGGGAUAACUUCGGGAAACCGGAGCUAAUACCGGAUAACAUGUUGAACCGCAUGGUUCAACAGUGAAAGACGGUUUUGCUGUCACUUAUAGAUGGAUCCGCGCCGCAUUAGCUAGUUGGUAAGGUAACGGCUUACCAAGGCAACGAUGCGUAGCCGACCUGAGAGGGUGAUCGGCCACACUGGAACUGAGACACGGUCCAGACUCCUACGGGAGGCAGCAGUAGGGAAUCUUCCGCAAUGGGCGAAAGCCUGACGGAGCAACGCCGCGUGAGUGAAGAAGGUCUUCGGAUCGUAAAACUCUGUUAUUAGGGAAGAACAAAUGUGUAAGUAACUAUGCACGUCUUGACGGUACCUAAUCAGAAAGCCACGGCUAACUACGUG